rnacentral:lncRNA from 1 species
AAAUAAAUGAAUAAAAAGACUAUUCAAAUGAUGGAUAGUUUGGUUUUAAAAUAUGAAAAGAACCCAUAGAAACUCAAAUGAAGAAAGAGAAUCUCAGGAAACAAAGUUUAGCUUGGCAAUAAUUGAACCAAAAUCACUGGGGAUCCAUUCUUUCUCUUUUAUUUUGCAGAUGAGUUAUCUUGCAUAUAUUUCUGCACAUUGCUUUACUUUUCUUUGCUGCAGCCUCACUUCCAAAAUGAAAAUCUUAGAAUUGGCACCCUUAUAAUGUUGGUUUACACAUAGUAUGUGGUUAAAAUGUCAUGAACUCUGACAUUAAUUAUCUGUUGUAUCUCCAGAGACUAAAUCAGUUUAUUUGAUUCCGUUUUUUAAAAUUAAUUUGUUUGUACAG